rnacentral:tRNA from 1 species
CAAUAAAAAGCCAAAAAGAGGCAUUUAACUGUUAAUUAAAUCAUUAUAUUUUUUAUAUUUUAUUGG